CGCAGCGCAGUCCGUCUGUCCGUCUGCGGUCUGCCCCUCCCCGGCAGCUGGGGCUUCAGUCCCGCGCGGCGAUCGACGCCUCCCGCCUGCACCGCAGCCUCGCGCUAGGUCCUGGGUCCUCCUGCCGUGGCCGCCUGGAGAGACCCAUGCCCAGGGCUGGCGGGGCUGGCGGGCCCGAGGGAGCUGGGUCAGGAGUGGGGUAGGAGGCAGUGGGAGGCUCAAGGAGACCUUCUGGGUGGAAGCCACGUCUAAGGUGAGCAGCCGUGGCGGGGUGUGGACAGGACCUGCCCUCCUGAGGACUGGCGGUUUCUAGGAACCCUGAGUUGCUUGGUCCAGAGCCAGAGCAGCGAAAGGCGAAAGGGGAGGUUAAGCCUGCUGAGGAUUCCAACUUAUCCCUGGGCCUUGGGGCCUAUUAAAGGAAUAGUCAUUAGAGGUGCGGCUACCCUGUGACCACUCCUCCCCAUAUGGGCUCAGAGAUGACCUCUCAAGCCCUGCCCCCCACCUUGCAGCUGGGAUAGGCCCCAGUCAGCAGCCUGAUCCCCACCUCUUCUUCCUCCCUCCCUCUGAUGUCCUCCUCCCGUUAGUCUGGUAGGGUAGAGGCAGGCGGUCACCCAUAGACUGACAGCUGAGGCUUAUCCCAUCUGGGGGAAAACAUCCUGGUCCUCAAUGGGGGUCUCUGGAAGACCCUCCAAAGAGUAGAGCUGAUAUCUUAACCUCCUGUGUAGGUGAGCAUCUCCUGCUGGGGGUGGUGUGGCUGGCUCUGGUUCACAAAGCCCGGCUUAGCUGGCCUCAUCUAGCUUUCUGCUUGCCCUCAGCGGCUUCCUGAGCUCAGGGCCUCCCUGUGGCAUGGGUUGUGGUGGAGCUGGGGAUGGUCAACGCUGCCAGAGCCAGCCUCCAGUGGCUGAGCCGCAGGAGGGCAGAGUUGCUAGGGCUUUAUGAAGUUUGAGCUGGUUCUCUCCCCUUGCUCCCAGGCAGGAAAUAACCCCAUCAGCUAGGACUGGGUCCCCAGGCAGAUUCCAAAGCUCUUGGUGGGCGUUUCUACAUCUGGGGCUGAGUUCUUUCUCUAGGGGCCUGAGGGAGCCUGUGCAAGGCGGCAGCUGUUGGCGGGCCAGUCUCUUCUCCAGGCAGUGGGACAGAUGUUUGGACUUCAGGGACAAGCCUGGGCACCUCCUCCAUGGGUUCCUGCCAGUGUGGGACCUCUGGAGCCAGGCUGCAAAUCUACAAAUGCACUCUCUACAGCCAGACAGGAACGGGGGCUGCUACACCUGAGAUUCUGGGGCACACACAGGUGCUGGGGCUCAGUGGGUGGUGCCUAGGAUGAAGGCACAAGCUCACAGAAUGGAAGACUGAGGCUGCACACGAGAGCCCCCACACCCUGUGUCCAGUGGGAGAGCAGACGCCCGACAAAAGACCACCAGGCUUCAUAGGUCCAGCCAAACAGCAGCUUUAUUAGGGCGCUGGAUUCUUCACAUACCUUAACGAGCUCGGAAGCAAUCCCUAGGGUGCCUGUGGAUGCCUCCAGCAUUUGGGACAAUACUGUGUAGCGUUUAUACUGGAAGGAUAUAAAUAAAGCUUCGGUGCACAGGCUCUCAGGACAGGGCGCAGGUUAA